rnacentral:rRNA from 1 species
CAAUAGCGUAUAUUAAAGUUGUUGCGGUAAAAAAGCUCGUAGUUGGAUUUCUACCGAAGAUAGCCGGUCGGGUCUUCGACCUUGUAUCUGGUUUUGUCUUUGGUAUCCUCAUAGGGAACGUUUCUGCGCUUUAUUGCGUGGUGCGGUAUCUAUGACUUUUACUUUGAGGAAAUUAGAGUGUUCACGGCAGGCAAACGCCUUGAAUAUAUUAGCAUGGAAUAAUAACAUAGGAUCUUCGUCCUAUUUUGUUGGUUUCUAGGGCUAAGAUAAUGAUUAAUAGGGAUAAUUGGGGGCAUCUGUAUCAACGCGUCAGAGGUGGAAUUCUUGGAUUGCGUUACGACAAACUACUGCGAAAGCAUUUGCCAAGGAUGUUUUCAUUGA